rnacentral:rRNA from 1 species
CCUGAAUUCGAAAGGGAUUGGAUUCAAGUCCAUCCGAGUGAUUACGGAUCGCCCUAGUCAGAUGGCGCCGGUCGCCCGCGGCGAUUAAUUUCGUUUGCGGUGUCGUUCCCGGCGUUCACUCGUCGAGGCGCUGAAUAUCCGGCACCGGUGUACUGCACUUCCCCCCUAGUAGAAACGUCGCGACCCGUUGGGUGCCGGUCUUAAGGCUCGGGAUGGCAGACCAUGUGUCCUGCGGGGGUUCCCGCAGGCGCGCGGACUCUCGAUGACCCGGCCGGCUGCCCGACGGUAUGACCAGAGGAGUCGAUCCGCUGAAUGGGAAACACUGUGGUUGUGUAGCGUCCGGCCCUUCGCUGAUGUGGCACCAGGGUUUGAGGCGAAUGCCGUGGGUUUCCGUGCCUGGCACGGGCUCCCGGCCCUGUUGCGUCUUCCGUGAUGUGGUCUCGGACUGGAUCAGCACUCCCGUCUGCGACGCCCACCUUCGGAUGGUCUCCCG